rnacentral:rRNA from 1 species
UCGGGAAUAUUGCGCAAUGGAGGAAACUCUGACGCAGUGACGCCGCGUGUAGGAAGAAGGUUUUCGGAUUGUAAACUGCUUUAGACAGGGAAGAACAAAGACAGUACCUGUAGAAUAAGCUCCGGCUAACUACGUGCC